rnacentral:sRNA from 1 species
UAUCGAUAUUUGUCCUACGGCUAGCCA